AACGCACAUUGCGCCCGGUAGCACUCUACCGGGCAUGCCUGUUCGAGCGUCGAACUACCCUCUAUAACGGUGUUGGGGACUACUUGUAGCCCUGAAAUAUAGUGGCGGCCGUUCUAAGCCUUUGCGAAGUACAAUACGCAGCAGGGGAUGAAAUCGGUUCUGCCUUAAUCACCACUUUUGAAGACGACCUCGAAUCAGGUAGGAUUACCCGCUGAACUUAA
rnacentral:misc_RNA from 2 species